rnacentral:snRNA from 1 species
GUACUUACUUGGCAGGGGAGAUACUGUGAUAAUGAAGGUCAUUUUCCCAGGGUGAGGCUGAUCCAUUGCACUCUGGAUGUGUGGACCCCCCUGACUCCCCCAAAUGUGGGAAACUUGUGGUAAUGGGGAACUAUGCUCACGCUCUUCCCUG